CCUACGGGUGGCAGCAGUAGGGAAUAUUGGUCAAUGGGGUAACCCCUGAAGCAGCAAAGUCGCGUGGAGGAUGAAGGUUUUCUGAUUUUUAACUCCCUUUGUUAGAGAAGAUACUGACGGUAUCUAAAGCAUAAGCACCGGCGCACGCCGUGCCAGCAGCCGCGGUAAGCCGGAGGGUGCAAGCGUUACUCGGAAUCACUGGGCGUAAAGCGCGAGUAGGCGGGAUAGCAAGUCCGAUGUGAAAUGCUAUGGCUUAACCAUAGAACUGCAUUUGAAACUGUUAUUCUAGAGUAUGGGAGAGGUAGGUGGAAUUCUUGGUGUAGGGGUAAAAUCCGUAGAGAUCAAGAGGAAUACUGAUUGCGAAGGCGGCCUGCUAGAACAUAACUGACGCUGAUGCGCGAAAGCGUGGGGAGCGAACAGGAUUAGAUACCCUAGUAGUC
rnacentral:rRNA from 1 species